CCUACGGGAGGCAGCAGUGGGGAAUAUUGCACAAUGGGGGAAACCCUGAUGCAGCGACGCCGCGUGAGUGAAGAAGUAUCUCGGUACGUAAAGCUCUAUCAGCAGGGAAGAAAAUGACGGUACCUGACUAAGAAGCCCCGGCCAACUACGUGCCAUCAGCCGCGGUAAUACGUAGGGGGCAAGCGUGAUCCGGAUUUACUGGGUGUAAAGGGAGCGUAGACGGCAGCACAAGUCUGGAGUGAAAGCCCGGGGCUUAACUCCGGAACUGCCUUGGAAACUGGGAGGCUGGAGUGCAGGAGGGGUAGGCGGAAGUCCUGGUGUAGCGGUGAAAUGCGUAGAUAUUAGGAGGAACACCGAUGGCGAAGGCAGCUUACUGGACUGUAACUGACGUUGAGGCUCGAAAGCGUGGGGAGCAAACAGGAUUAGAUACCCUGGUAGUC
rnacentral:rRNA from 1 species